UAUCGUAAGCAUAAGUAGGUUCUUAUUCGGCUAUGUUUUCAAUUCAAGCCGCAUUAAGCCUACUUAGACUGGCGACAU
rfam:Bombyx mori DNA, contig: Bm_scaf98_contig35688, strain: p50T/Dazao, build 2, whole genome shotgun sequence.